rnacentral:lncRNA from 1 species
CAGCUCCCUUAGUACUCUAUUUGAGUGAAAGGGGCUAUCAAAAUUUAGCCACCAAGCUUACCAUACGAAAGAAAGACCUGGUCAUAUAAGCCAUAUAUCAAUAAACAGAUAAAAAAUGAAUACCGUAUAUUAAAGAUAUAGCUGAUUAGAUGACCGUAUAAUAAUAAUGCAUUUUGAAUAAUUUCGAUAAGAUAUGGAGAUUAAUUAGCAUCUUAAAACAGUGAUUAUAUUGAACAGGCCAUUUUUACCACCACUCCAUUCUUGGAAAUAGAAUGCAUUCAAGUUAUUAUUAAUAAUAGAUAAAAGUAUGGCAGCUAAUAUCUAACGCCUAUAGGAAGAGAGAAUGAGAUUCAAAAUCUUUUCAAUAUCAGAUGUGAUUCGAUGGCUUUAUAUUCAUUUUUUUUUUUUUUUUAUCAAUAUCAGAUAUUUCGUCUGUCUGCUUCCGGUUGCUCGAUAUUUUUAUAUCAUCACGGUUAUAGUUGGAAAUUUUUUCCCAUUCAAUAAAAAAGAGAAUAAUUUAAUGGGAAGUUUAGAGAGAAUAAAUGACUUUAUUUCAUGGUAAUAAUCAUUUCAUUUUUUUUAUUUCGUAACUUCCACCAUAGUACCACGGUGCGACAUCAUCAGUGAUACUUUUCUGGAAACUAUAGUUAUUAAAAAUGUCAUAGUUUGGCACAACUAGGCAAAAAGUAUUACCAUCUAAGCGCUUGGGUUUUUCUAUCAGAUUCCGUCGAAUGUAGCCAAAUUAAAAUAUUUUAUUUCUAUCCAACAAUAAUAAUUGUUGAGUAUUUCAAUCUAUAAAAAAAAAAUUAGGUGGAUAAGUAAUUAGAAUAAGACGAUAAUCCUAAACAAUAAUAAAAAUCGAGUACAGCGGUUAGUUAAUAAGAUGGCCAGGUUUUAUUGAUUACCGUGAUGUUAUCAUAAACUAAUUGGGUUUAAAUGCUAUCCGGACGCUAUCUUAGAAAUUCAAAUCUGAUAAAAAAGUACUAAUAUUACCAGUAAUGGGUAAAUUAAGCGUGGGUAUAAAAUAAUUUGGUAAAUUAGGCAUUAUACGAAAGGUGGAAAAUGUAAAUUCGAAUGCAACUAGGAGGUAAAUACAUUCGAUCCACAACCGCAUUUGUUAAUACAAUACGGCGUGGCCUUGGGUUUGUACUGCAGACACUCGGGUGCAUCUUACGUUAGUCUACCUGGCCGCCCUAUAGCUUCCAGUUUCCUGAAAAUUUUAUAAGAAUGGCAAAACUGACCGAUUCCUGGGAAGAUGGCUAUAAUACGACCGGCUCUCGUCGAUAAUGGCGCAAUUACCGCCAGUUUUAUAUCGAAACUUAAAGGCCGAGAUUUUAUUAGCGCAAUAAUGCCAGUAAAGGCGAUUUGAUCGACAGUUUAACCAUCUUAAAAUAUGUGAAAGGUCAGUCGAAUUUGAGUCAUCAAUAAUUAAAGACAGAAACUGUACUAUUAACUUUUUGAAUUUUAAAAACUUUCACCAAAGAAAUCACUGGGUUUGUCCUUUUUAUGGAGAGAGGUUUUUUUGGAGCGUUUUCAUUUUCGGAAUGACCAGUCUGUUCGGACGUAGUACGCAAACUUUCAGUGUUCCCCAGAGAAUGCGAAUUAUUCUAACAGGGCCCAUUUCCAGUCAGUCUAAUUCAUUAGUCGACGACCUAAGUAAAUAAUUAUCACUUCCAGCCAAAUGUACUUUUGAAAAUUCUGAUUUAAUAAAAAUCAUUUUGAUAAUGAAUUCAGAAAUAUUUCUUAAUUACCUAUAUCUAAAAUUGCAUAUUUUCAUCGAAUCGCCAUCGUACCACCU